rnacentral:rRNA from 1 species
GAAACCGUGUGCUUACAAGUAGUCAGAGCCCGUUAAUGGGUGAUGGCGUGCCUUUUGUAGAAUGAACCGGCGAGUUACGAUCUGAUGCAAGGUUAAGCAGCAAAUGUGGAGCCGCAGCGAAAGCGAGUCUGAAUAGGGCGUUGAGUAUUUGGUCGUAGACCCGAAACCAGGUGAUCUACCCUUGGUCAGGUUGAAGUUCAGGUAACACUGAAUGGAGGACCGAACCGACUU